rnacentral:rRNA from 1 species
GAUGAACGCUGGCGGCGUGCCUAAUACAUGCAAGUCGAGCGAACAGACGAGGAGCUUGCUCCUCUGACGUUAGCGGCGGACGGGUGAGUAACACGUGGAUAACCUACCUAUAAGACUGGGAUAACUUCGGGAAACCGGAGCUAAUACCGGAUAAUAUAUUGAACCGCAUGGUUCAAUAGUGAAAGACGGUUUUGCUGUCACUUAUAGAUGGAUCCGCGCCGCAUUAGCUAGUUGGUAAGGUAACGGCUUACCAAGGCAACGAUGCGUAGCCGACCUGAGAGGGUGAUCGGCCAAACUGGAACUGAGACACGGUCCAGACUCCUACGGGAGGCAGCAGUAGGGAAUCUUCCGAAAUGGGCGAAAGCCUGACGGAGCAACGCCGCGUGAGUGAUGAAGGUCUUCGGAUCGUAAAACUCUGUUAUUAGGGAAGAACAAAUGUGUAAGUAACUAUGCACGUCUUGACGGUACCUAAUCAGAAAGCCACGGCUAACUACGUG